ACCUUCGGGCCUUUCGCGAUUGGAUGAACCCAGGUGGGAUUAGCUAGUUGGUGGGGUAAUGGCUCACCAAGGCGACGAUCCCUAGCUGGUCUGAGAGGAUGAUCAGCCACACUGGAACUGAGACACGGUCCAGACUCCUACGGGAGGCAGCAGUGGGGAAUAUUGCACAAUGGGGGAAACCCUGAUGCAGCCAUGCCGCGUGUGUGAAGAAGGCCUUCGGGUUGUAAAGCACUUUCAGCGAGGAGGAAAGGUUGGCGCCUAAUACGUGUCAACUGUGACGUUACUCGCAGAAGAAGCACCGGCUAACUCCG
rnacentral:rRNA from 2 species